rnacentral:lncRNA from 1 species
GGUCUGUGAGUCACCUCACCACAUUAUACCAGAACUAACAGAGACUUCAGAAGAGCAGAACAUAGAAUGGUAGACCCGCAGUUAGUUCUUCCUGCUCUUGCUGUGGGUAGGAGCUGCUAAGCUUUCUCCCUUGUUUGGCUUUCUUUCAUCGCUAUUGUUUUUUCUCCUUUUGGGCAUCUCAGACUGUUCUUAUUCUGGCUAAGUGUCUCUGCUUCUUCUUCAUCAGUCUUGAUAUAUGCAACUUUAAGAAGAGCAAGAACAGUAAAUACACAACAGGGGUGGAUACUUUUUUUAUUACCUUCUGUGACAAGACUCUUGAACUUUGGAGUAGCUUUUCCCUGAUAAGGAUCUUGGAGACAGUUCUAUUACAUGUGAAAUUUGGAAAUUCUCUUCUGAGGAAGAAAGAAGAAGCCUUCUUAGUGAUUAAUGAUUCCUUUGGAGACUUGACUAUAACUCAUAUCCUCCUGAAGAUUUUUUCUCUCCAGUUUGAUGAUCCAGUUGGACAGUUUCUAGUUGUUUGUCAUUCCUCAGAUCAGAAUGGUACAUCUUCUGGACUGGUGAGGACAGCAAAUGAUGGUGGCACAGAUCAAUGGCAAGAGUCUGAUUAGAAUGAGAAGAAAUCAUUGGUUCAACCCAGAGACAUUACAGGGGUCUAGGGGCGGGGUACAGUAAUCUCUCCAGGUCUUGUAUUCUGGGGCUGGUAUCUGUGAAUAUGUCCGAUGGCUGUACAUUAGAUAUAUCAAAUUAGAUAUCCUGUAUACAUAUUAAACUCAAUCUAUCCAAAACUAAACUCAUUAUCUUUUCCCCAAAACUCUCCCCUCUUUCAGACUUUUCUAUUAUUUUUUAGGACAUCACCAUGGCACCUAGACAGUCCCCCAGGCACACAAACUAGAUAUUAUAUUUGAUUCCUCAUUAUCUCUCAACCCCCCCUCCAAGCCCAUAUCAAUCUAUUGCCAAC